UCAAAAGAUAUUCUCUCCCCCACUUUUCACGGUUACCUACUGUUCUAUUGCUCCCAUUUUGCUUCCAUUCCUUUGUUUAUUUUCAGCACUUCUAGUGAGAAAAACACACAAAAGAUAGAUUUCUUAAAUUUGUUUCGUUCUCUUUUUUUCCCUUUCUAUAAUCUUUGCUAUUUUCACUCGGCUAUUGAUUUUGUUCUUAUUCAUUCUAUUCAUUUAUUGUGGUUGCUAGGUGGUGCAAUCUCUGUUGUUUUUACAGAUUUAAGUUUCAAAAUUGAGUUUUCCCUUUCUCUGAUCUUUUUUAUUUUCACUCGAAUUUUGAUUUUGUUCUUAUUGAUUCUAUUUAUUUAUUGCGGUUGGUGGGUGGUGCAAUCUCCGUUGUUUUUACGAAUUUAAGUUUUAGGUAAUUAAGAGUGAUAAUCAAGAAACUCGGGAUUUUUCUCCUAUGAUAUAGUUGUGUGAAGAACUGUUGUGAAAAUUUGGAGGAAGUGUUCUGUAAAAGGCGAUAAUUCAUCUAUUUAUCUGGCAACUCAGCUGCAAAUGUUCUGUAAAGUGUCAUACAGACACUAAGUGGUGUGUAGGGUUGGGUGGGUGAUUCAUACACCACAUGGUGUGUUGGGAUGGUCGGAGUUGGUAUGUAGCAGAUGGAGGUUGGAUUAUAGGUAAUCCUUAGACUUAGGCGGAUCGGUGCGACAAGAGCUCGGUUAAUAUCAUAUUUUCGUAAAUUUAACUUAUUUAAAAUUUGGGUUUAGAGUUUUGUAAAUUUUGGACUCUUUGGACAUUUUGGGUUGUUUUGGAUUUAGGACUUUAUUUCCGUAUUUUUCUUAAUC